rnacentral:ncRNA from 1 species
CGAAUGUAUAAAAAGGGACUAUUAUGGAUUACUAGCUAACAUAUCAAGGAGGGAGCUAACAAUGCAAAAUCAUAGUUAAAAAAUUAUCUAUGUAACUCCUAAGGGAAACCAAAUAUAAUUACAGAGUGAAGUGAAACAUCUAAAUAACUCUAGGAAAAGAAAUCAACCGAGAUUCCAUUAGUAGUGGUGAGCGAACGUGGAUUAGCCUAUAAUAUAUAAAUACUAUUUAACUUAAUAAUAUUGAGUAAAAAAAAAAAAAAAUACUUAAUUUGAUUAAGGUUCAAUUAAGGGAUUAAUAGAUUUGAAAAUCUAGCCAAAGAUGGUAAUAAGCCCAGUAUCAACCUUAAUAUAUAUUUAAACAAGUAGAACGGCAGAAAAGCUGUUUGAAUUGUUUCUCAAGUGGGGGAACCAUCCUCUAAGGCUAAAUAUGGUAUGUUAAGCGAUAGAGAAAGUACCGUGAGGGAAAGUUUGAAAAGAUUUGGUCUUUCUCCAGUCUUUAUCGACUGAGAAAGACCUGGAGCCUAAGGCAUAGUGAAAAAGAGAUGAAAUAGUAGUUCUACAAGCAGCCGGAAUGAAGCUUUUAAUAGCUAAUAACGGUGUACCUUUUGCAUAAUGGGUCAGCAACUUAAUCGGUGAUGCAAGCAGAAAUGCCUAGAUAAAACGACUAUAUAAAGAAUGAUGGUAUAAUCUUUCUUAAUUUAAUUAAUUAAGAAAGAUAUAAGUAUCCUCGAUUAGACCCGAAACCAAGUGAUCUUACCAUGGUCAAGUAUAUAAAUGACUGAACGGGUAGAAAUGCCCAUUAGAUAGGUGACUAUCUAUUAUUAUUAAUUAAUAGUUAAUAAUAAGUUAAUAUAAUUAA